GUGACUGUGGUGGGGAAGGAACACAGAUGGUGCUGCGAGGCCGUCUCCAGACUGUGGAAGCCACAAGCCACUGGCGUCUGCUUCUGUGGAGAAACAAACUUCAGCCACCCACGGGCGCCCCCGCAAGGGCCGGGCUGAUUCCUCGAGAGUGGCUGGCGCUGGGCCUGCACAGCACUCUUCCCUACUCUACGCUUACCUUCCUCCCCUCCCCUAUCCUCUGGGGCAAUUCAGAAACGGAAGACAUGGUGGAUUGAAGGCAGCACUGACACCCGCUCCAUGCAGUCCCGGGAUGGCCACCAAGUGAGGGAGCAGCAAAAAAGAGAAGACGCAGGGAAGGAAUUACCUAGAGAUCCCCAGGACUGCCACGCUGGGCCAGACUCACAGGACACUACUUCCCUGAAUUAUUCGCUUCUAGAACUAUGGAUGAUGGGUUCAUCUAACCCUUCCUUGAUUUGUUUGUUUUCACUAUGUUAUUUAUAAAGAUAAUGGGUUGUAUGAUAAAUACUUCUUUUUUCUUUUUUUCUCUCUCUCUCUUUUUUUUUUUUUUUUUUUUU
rnacentral:lncRNA from 10 species